AUCACAAAUCAUUGAAGAAAAAUGGUUCAGAGCACUGUCUAGUGGGUCUAGAUGACCCCACUCCCAAUGUUAAAGUGCCUAGGAUAGCACAAGGGUCACAGAAUGUGGGGAGGCUUAACAUGGAAUGGACUGAGAAUAGACCAUUAAGAGCCACAACACACAGACAAAUACAAGACAGUGAGGCAUAUUUGAACACUGAUUUUUCCACUUUGAAAUCAUCGAGGGGGUCUGACAUUUUCAUCUUAGGUGCAGGUCCACUGUGAGAGACAAAAAAGUCUGGAAAUCACAAUGCAUGAUUUUUAAAAUAAUUUAUUUGUAUGCUACACUGCAAAUAAGUAUUUGAACACCUGAGAAAAUCAAUGUUAAUAUUUGGUACAGCAGCCUUUGUUUGUGAUUACACACGUCAAAUGUUUCCUGUUGUUUCUCACCAGGUUUGCAAACACUGCAGGAGGGACUUUUGCUCACUCCUUCACACAGAUAUUCUCUAGAUCAACCAGGUAUCUAGACUGUCGUUGAGAAACAAGGAGUUUGAGCUCCCUCCAAGGUCUGGAGACUGGCUAGGCCACUCCAGAACCUUGAUAUGCCUCUUAUGGAGCCACUCCUUGGUUCUCCUGGCUGUGAGUGGGUGCCAUGAAUUAAGUGUGGUCUUUCUUAUGGUGAAUGAAUAUAGAUUUGUUUUGAUUAUAGGUCAUUGAGUAGGGUAAUCAGCUGGUGGGUCACAUGUUUGUGGGCGGUGACAUUAAUUGACUUUAACUCACCUGUGGUUUUUCCCUGUGUAAGAUGGAAGGGGGGGGGGGGGGGUGAGCUGGGUUGCCGUAUUCUUUGUUGACCGCUUUAUAUGCUUUAUACGCUUUAUUCGCUUUUGUGGUUUUUCAUGAUUCCUCGUUUUUUCUCUUUUUUGAUCACAAUAUAAUAAGUGGAUUUAAUUACCUUCAUUUUUCAUUAUUAAAACUUCAAAAUACAUACUUUGUUAUGCUUUAUGGUUUUUUGAGCGUGUCAUUCAAUACCUGGACCCACCCAGCGUCAGCCACUCAGCGACUGUUUGGUUUUGAACAAUUGAAGUCGCUACACUGUGUGCUUCCAGUCAUUGUCAUGUUGGAAGAUCCAACCAAGACCAAUCUUUAGGUGAGGGAAGAAAGUUGUUCCCCAAAAUCUUGCAAAGCAUGGCCCCGGUCAUCCUCUCCUUCAUACAGUGCAGUCGCCCUGUCCCAUGUGCAGAAAAGCACCUCCACAGCAUGAUGUUACCGCCCUCAUGCUUCACAGUAGGGUUAUUGUUCUUGGGAUGGGAUGAGUGCAAUUAAGACCAAAAAGUUCUAUAUUGGUGUCAAAAUGACUUUCCCCCAUGAUCCUCCGGAUCAUCCAAAUGUUCAGUGGUAAACUUGUUACAGACCUGGGCAUGUGCUGGUUCAAGCAGGGAAACCAUGCAUGAUUUCAAAUGUCUUAGUGUAUUACCAGUGACGGUUUUUCAUUUGGGCAAUGUGGGCAGUUGCCAAGGGCAAAAAUAACAAACCAAAAAAAAAAAGAAAAAUUGCCAUUUUUUUUCCACUCGCAGAUUUUCUAGAAAUUUUGUUGUUAAUAAAAUGUUGUGUCAUAUUGCUGUCAUCUCAUAUUACUGCUGUAAUUGUCACGGUGCCUCUGUCAGCUGUCCUCCCCCUCCCCUCUUUGCUUGGCUCCUUAUUCGACACAGCUGCGACCACUCACCUCAUCACCUACCUGCCUUCAAAAGGAGAUCCAGCUCCAGCAUUCAUUGCCAGUUCGUUGCCCCUGAUGGAAUCCAUUACCACGAGUGGUCGCCUGAGUCUUCAACUCUCCCGGAUCCAAGCUUUAGCACUUCUGCCAGUCACACCACGAGCCUCUGCCGAUUCUCGAGUCACGCCACGAGCCACGGUUGUAUCCUCCAGUGACUCCACAAGCCACGGACAACAAACCAGCCACGUCACGGGUACUCUUCAGGUUUUCCUGCUACGCCCACAACCACACAGGAUCAAGAAAAAUAAACUUUCUUACUCACCUGUGUUUCCUUCCGGGUUCCAGCAUCUGGGUCUGUUUUGUCUUGCUAGUUAUGACAGUAAUGACUGUAUUUUGCGCUGUCUGUGCAGUAUACGCACCCGAUCAUCUCACUCAUCUUGUUUCUGGGUGUUUGAAAGACGGAAAAGUCUAUUCAAGGUUGAGGAACAUGGGCAAAAGACCAAAGGAAACAUCAACGCCCAGUUUAGAAAGAAGAGGAAGAAAAACACUCAAAAUAUGAAGGAAUGCAUACACCAAAAUUAAAAACUUGCUAAGUGCCAAAUAAGACCAAAUUUACUGUUUGAGGAGUAAAAUUUAGAGCAACAUUUGGCUAAAGAAGGUUUGAACUUAAUUAGACCAAUCUUGUUCAUUUGCUCACUGGUGGAUUUCAUCUAAACUCUGUCAUUCUCAAAUACAGUCAGUGCUCCAGAUGCAAAGUACACAAUUGUUUGUCUUUUUUUUUUUUUGUUCAGUUUUGUGACACUUAAGCACAAAAACAAAGAACAUGUCCUUUAGUUUCCAUAGAUGUUCAUUCAUGAAGUCAGUGAAAUUACCACAACUAUUAAGUCAUAAUUCAUGUCAGGGUUGUAUUCAGCUCAAGAAAAGAAAAAUAUGAAGAUUUUUAUCAGACACAUCUUUUGCUUCAUAUUUAAUUGUGAAUUCAACUAUAAAAGUAUAUUUUAUGAUUAAAGCAAUAAAAU